rnacentral:rRNA from 1 species
GAUGAACGCUAGCGGCAGGCUUAACACAUGCAAGUCGAGGGGUAUAGUUCUUCGGAACUAGAGACCGGCGCACGGGUGCGUAACGCGUAUGCAAUCUACCUUUUGCAGAGGGAUAGCCCAGAGAAAUUUGGAUUAAUACCUCAUGGUAUGUGAGAAUGGCAUCAUUUUCACAUUAAAGUCACACAGGCAAAAGAUGAGCAUGCGUCCCAUUAGCUAGUUGGUAAGGUAACGGCUUACCAAGGCAACGAUGGGUAGGGGUCCUGAGAGGGAGAUCCCCCACACUGGUACUGAGACACGGACCAGACUCCUACGGGAGGCAGCAGUGAGGAAUAUUGGUCAAUGGACGCAAGUCUGAACCAGCCAAGUAGCGUGAAGGAUGAAGGUUCUAUGGAUUGUAAACUUCUUUUAUAUGGGAAUAAAACCACUUACGUGUAGGUGUCUGUAUGUACCAUAUGAAUAAGGACCGGCUAACUCCGUGCCAGCCGCCGCCGUAAGAC